CCUGAGUUAUAUGAACAUUGCUGGACAACCAUUGCUACUAUGUAUUUCCAAAACUUUUUAAUUGCCUUAAACAGAAGCCUUGUAACCAUUAAGCAACACCUCCCCAUCCCCUCUCCCCUCAGCCCCUAGUAAUCACUAGCCUACUUUCUCUGCUACUUUGUCUCUUGUAGAUGUUUCAAACAAGUAGAAUGAUAUGAUACUUGUCCUUUUGAAACUGACUUAUUUUACAUAGUAUAGUGUUUUCAAGGUCCAUCCAUGUGGUGCAUGUAUUAAAGCUUCAUGCACUUUUAUGGCUGAAUAAUGUUCCAUUGUAUGUACAAGGCGUGCCACAUUUUGUUAUUCAUUCACCUGUUAAUGGCAACUUGGCUUGUUUCCACUUUUGGGCCCUUGUGGAUAAUGCUGCAGUGAACAUCAGCAUGGAUGUCUCUGAGUCCUGCUUUCAGUUCUUCAGGGUAUAUGCCUAGCAGUGGAGUAGCUGAUUCUAUGUUAAUUCUAUGUUUAAUUUUUUGAGAAACUGCCAUAUUGUUCUCCAGGCUGGCUGCACCAUUCCACAUUCCCACUAACCGUGCACAAAGAUUCCAAUUUCUUACCAACACACUCUCAUCAAUACAUGUUAUUUUUAGUUUAUCGUGUUUUCAUUUUUCUUUUAUUAAUAUAUAGCAGGCAUUCUAAUGGGUGUGGGGUGGUAUCUCAUUUUGGUUUUGAUCUGCAUUUUCCUAGUGUUUAGCGAUGUUGAGUAUACUUUCCUGUGGUCAUUUGUAUAUUUUCUUUGGAUGUGUAUCUGUUCAAAUCCUUUACUCAUUUUUAAUUGAGUUGUCUUUUUGUUAUUGAGUUGUAGGAGUUCCUUAUAUAUUCUUGAUUUUAAAACUUUAUCAGAUAUAUGAUUUGCAGAUAUUUUCUCCCAUUGCAUCGGUUGUUUUUUCAGUUUCUUGAUAAUGUCCUUUCAUGCACAAAAGUGUUUAGUUUUGAUGAAUUCCAAUUUGUCUCUUUUUCUUUCUUUGCUCAUGUUUUUGGUGUCGUAUCUGAGAAUCCAUUACCAAAUCCAAGGUCGUGAAGAUUUACCUAUAUGUUUUCUUGUAAGAGUUCUGAUGUUUGUCAUUGAUCCAUGCUGAGUUAACAUUUAUACCGUAUAAUGUAGGGGCUACCUCUUCAUUCUUUUGCAUGUAGAAACUCCGUUAUCCUAAUUGUUGCUAAUUGCCUCUGGCCCACUGACUUGAGAAGCCCAAGAGGACCAGGGAGUAUUUGUAUUUUCAAGUUCUGUAGAAUUGGUGAUGUUCCCUGGUGGAGGAGUCCACUCUCCGCUCCUCCUCCCCCAUCAAGAACUAAGACGUCGAAUUUGCUAGAGCCCCACCCAAAGCUGUGGACACAGGAAGCACACAUUUCUCAAGGUGGUCUCUGCGAGUGAUGGUGAGAGCAGCCGAUCUCACUCCCCCCGCCACCCCCUGGGUUUCCAGCCCCAUGUCUUUCUGCUUUUGGGAUCAUAGCACCAUGUGUCUGCUCUUGGUAAGGCACGUACACCACAGUUUCAAGGAUAGUAUCCCAAUUAUACAGGGUGUGGGCUCACGCUUUCACCCUGGCAUAGCCUUGGCACAGGUCAUCCUGAUGUUCUUGUAGGCCUGCUGCUUCCAGAGGAACCUUGGAGCCAUAGCUUCUUUGCUGUAAAACAGACCCCUUGGCUUGAGGCAGUGUUGUUCAAAUCCCCCUCCAUAGCUCCAGAGUGUGAAGAUGUGCUUCUACCCAGACAAAGAUGUACUCACUACUAUCCGAGCAAAUUGACACAGGGAGCUUAUGAGCCUAAUUGUUGGCAUCUCAGGCUGAUUUGCGUCCCCUGGGGCCACUCUGAUAACUUGGCUAAACAAAUACAGGAGGUGCUGUAGGGACAGGCUCACAGGGCCAGAGGGCUCCAUGGAGCCGGAUGACGGGGAAGUAUUUCAGGCCUCUCACCAGAACCUCCUGCUAUGCUCUGAA
rnacentral:lncRNA from 10 species